rnacentral:rRNA from 1 species
AUUGAACGCUGGCGGCAGGCCUAACACAUGCAAGUCGAGCGCGAAAGGGUUUCGGCCUGAGUAGAGCGGCGAACGGGUGAGUAACGCGUGGGAAUCUGCCUGGUAAUGGGGGACAACAUCUCGAAAGGGAUGCUAAUACCGCGUACGCCCUAAGGGGGAAAGUGGGGGAUCUUCGGACCUCACGUUAUCAGAUGAGCCCGCGUCGGAUUAGCUAGUAGGUAGGGUAAAGGCCUACCUAGGCGACGGUCCGUAACUGGUCUGGGAGGAUGAUCAGGCACACUGGAACUGAGACAUGGUCCAGACUCCGACGGGAGGCAGCAGUAGGGAAGAUUGGACAAUGGGGGCAACCCUGAUCCAGCCAUGCCGGGUGUGGGAAGAAGGCCUUCGGGUUGUAAAGCACUUUAAGUUGGGAGGAAGGCUUGAUGGUUAAUAACCAUCAGGAUUGACGUUACCAACAGAAUAAGCACCGGCUAACUCCGUGCCAGCAGCCGCCGUAACAC